rnacentral:rRNA from 1 species
CGCUUUUUGGCUGUAUCAUGAAAAGUAAAGUCUGCCCAAUGAGCAAUUAAAUGGCCGCGGUAUUUUGACCGUGCGAAGGUAGCAUAAUCAUUAGUCUAUUAAUUGUAGACUGGUAUGAAAGGCUAAAUGGAAAAUUCCUGUCUUUCUAAGUAAAAUGAACUUUAAAUUUUUGUGAAGAUGCAGAAAUAAAAUUAAGGGACGAGAAGACCCUAUUAAGCUUUACAUAUAAAUUUUGGGAAAGAAUAUCAAGAGGAAAUGUUAUGUUGGGGCGACAGUGAAUGAUAACGUUUAUUAAGUAUAAUUAAUUUAAUUAGAUUAUUAAUGACCCAAAAUAUUUGGUUACAAGAAUAAGUUACUAUAGGGAUAACAGCGUAAUCUUAUCAGAGAGUUCAUAUUGAUGAUAAGGGUUGCGACCUCGAUGUUGAAUUAGGAUACCCUUGGGGUGCAGAAGUUCUUUAGGGUGGUCUGUUCGACCAUUAAAAUCCUACA